CCUACGGGUGGCAGCAGUAGGGAAUCUUUCACAAUGGGCGAAAGCCUGAUGGAGCAACGCCGCGUGCAGGAUGAAGGCCUUCGGGUUGUAAACUGCUUUUAUAAGCGAGAAAUCUGAUGGUAACUUAUGAAUAAGGAUCGGCUAACUACGUGCCAGCAGCCGCGGUCAUACGUAGGAUCCGAGCAUUAUCCGGAGUGACUGGGUGUAAAGAGUUGCGUAGGUGGCAUAAUAAGUAGCUAGUGAAAUCUGGUGGCUCAACCAUUCAGACUAUUAGCUAAACUGUUAAGCUCGAGACCGUUAGGGGUAACUGGAAUUUCUGGUGUAGGAGUGAAAUGCGUAGAUAUUAGAAAGAACACCAAUAGCGUAGGCAGGUUACUGGGACGGUUCUGACACUAAGGCACGAAAGCGUAGGGAGCAAACGGGAUUAGAUACCCUGGUAGUC
rnacentral:rRNA from 1 species